GGCUCUAUGGUGUAAUGGUUAGCACUCUGGACUCUGAAUCCAGCGAUCCGAGUUCAAAUCUCCGUAGGACCU
rnacentral:tRNA from 1 species